GAUGAACGCUGGCGGCGUGCCUAAUACAUGCAAGUCGAGCGAACGGACGAGAAGCUUGCUUCUCUGAUGUUAGCGGCGGACGGGUGAGUAACACGUGGAUAACCUACCUAUAAGACUGGGAUAACUUCGGGAAACCGGAGCUAAUACCGGAUGAUAUUUUGAACCGCAUGGUUCAAAAGUGAAAGACGGUCUUGCUGUCACUUAUAGAUGGAUCCGCGCUGCAUUAGCUAGUUGGUAAGGUAACGGCUUACCAAGGCAACGACGCAUAGCCGACCUGAGAGGGUGAUCGGCCACACUAGAACUGAGACACGGUCCAGACUCCUACGGGAGGCAGCAGUAGGGAAUCUUCCGCAAUGGGCGAAAGCCUGACGGAGCAACGCCGCGUGAGUGAUGAAGGUCUUCGGAUCGUAAAACUCUGUUAUUAGGGAAGAACAUAUGUGUAAGUAACUGUGCACAUCUUGACGGUACCUAAUCAGAAAGCCACGGCUAACUACGUG
rnacentral:rRNA from 1 species